rnacentral:rRNA from 1 species
GACGAACCGUGCGAACGUUGUUCGGAAUCACUGGGCUUAAAGGGCGCGUAGGCGGCGGGCGAGGUCGGGGGUGAAAUCCCACAGCUUAACUGUGGAAGAGCCUUCGAUACCGGCUCGCUGGAGGAAGGUAGGGGUGCGUGGAACUUCUGGUGGAGCGGUGAAAUGCGUUGAUAUCAGAAGGAACGCCGGCGGCGAAAGCGGCGCACUGGACCUUUUUCUGACGCUGAGGCGCGAAAAGCCAGGGGGAGCAAACGGGG